CCACUUUCUUCUUCGUUCGUCCCUUCGGUGAAAAGAAAGGAAACACACAAGAACUUGAUGUAUAAUCUGCUUGCAUUGUAAAAGACAACAAUCGAGACAAGCGUAUACUAUCGUUAAUAAGUGUAUAAAAUUCAUAAUUUUUUAAACGACUGUGAUAAAUCUAUUGCCCAAGACGAAUUCUGAUUUCAACAAACAAGAUUAUUGGGAAAACUUUUCGAAACAAGAGGCAAGAAUUCAUUUGAAUGUUAUGGCAUCUAUCAGCAGGCAUUAGUAUGCUUCAUACAUAAAUCAACCCAUGAGUUGAUAGAAUCAAACAUUCUAUUUGACGUUUGAAAUUGUAGAAAUUUCUUCACUACGUGCUGAUGUACACGGUACUGACUUCAGGAUGGAUGAUUCGCGUCUGCCGAUUUGAUGAGUACAAACAUCAAGAAUAUUCUACUGAUUUGGAACAAAAAGCAAGGGGGUAGUAUUGUGUGUUGAGGCUUAUGGAAAACAGGGUUUUUUUCUGAUAUACAAAAUUAUGUUGCUUCUUUGCUUUAUUGGACGGCAGAUUUAGAUCACGUGUCUACUGUGAAAGAGAUCAUGUGUCUCAACGAAAAUGGCUCUCUCCGUUUGCGACAUCAGACCUCCCCAGUGUCUCAUUCUGAUGCAGAACUCUUGAAAUCAAGUUGAACGUUUUUAACCAUCUCAGGACAAAGCUGAAGCUUUAGUUUGCAGAAGUUAUUAGAAAAGUCGUCGCUUUUUGGUUAGUUUCUUGGCCGUCUGAUGCAUCAGUUGGAAUGAUGUUCACUUCCUCGACAUCAUUACUCACGUAAUUUAAUAACUUUGUGCUUCGAAAAAAGUUGUACUAAUCUUCAAUUUUUAAAAGAAAACUUAUGCAUUAUUCUUAUCUCGAGGUUAUAUCGAUCCGCAAAGAUCAAAUCCACGAGGUAUUGCGCCUCGUCCGGCAACUUACCAUCCAGCAACGCAUCCAUCAACAGAAUGUUUAUGGAUCAAUGGUUAUAUCGUCGUCAUAAUCAUUAGAAGGUCAAUGGUGGUCAUAGUGGUUCACCCCCUUGAGAGUGAGUUGGUUGAACUAAAUAAAUUUAUGUUGAUGA
rnacentral:lncRNA from 1 species